CACAAGUAAGAUUAGUGUUAUUCAUCUUUAUUAGGUUUAAAGCGUACCUAGACGGCAUUUUUAACUCCCAAAGAGAAAUUAUUUGCUAGAGUUUUAUGUGAGAGGUAAAUAUUAGGACUAUUGGUGUAAAGAUGAAAUUUUUUGAUACUAAUAGAAUGUAUAAGGGCGAAGGCAACCCUCUAUGUAUAAACUGACGUUAAGGGACGAAGGCUUGGGGAGCAAACAGGAUUAGAACCUACCUAGUCAGU
rnacentral:rRNA from 1 species